rnacentral:sRNA from 1 species
ACAUAGCCCAGAUUGAAGAGAAAAUCCUUUUUAUUCGCCUUAGCGAAUAAAAAGAUUGAAACGAAAAGCUGGAAAUAGC